UCACUACUUGCGUAGGCAGUUUCAUUAGAGUUCCCAGCAUGACCUGAUGGCAACUAAUGAUAGGGGUUGCGCUCGUUAUGGGACUUAACCCGACACCUCACGGCACGAGCUGACGACAACCAUGCAGCACCUCGCUGAUCGCCCCGAAGGGAAAUGCCGUUUCCGGCACGGUCGACCAGCGUUCUAGCCCAGGUAAGGUUCCUCGCGUAUCAUCGAAUUAAACCACAUGCUCCUCCGCUUGUGCGGGCCCCCGUCAAUUCCUUUGAGUUUCAACCUUGCGGCCGUACUCCCCAGGUGGAUUACUUAAUGCUUUCGCUUAGACGCUGACUGUAUAUCGCCAACAUCGAGUAAUCAUCGUUUACAGCGUGGACUAC
rnacentral:misc_RNA from 1 species